GGGGAGCGAAGGAGUGCUCAAUUCAACAAGGGGGGGGGGGAGCGAAGGAGUGCUCAAUUCAACAAGUUUGGAAGUUUCCUCUUGUUACCCAGGUUUUCUUUAAAAAGUGCCCUAGUAUUGGUCUCACUUUAUUUAUGAAGAGUUUAUAAAGGUUUUGUAAAGUUUAUUCAUAGUUUAUUAAUGGUGAAGGAAUUCUUUAAAGAGAGUUUAUGAAUCAGUAAUAAACCAUUAUAACUUGGUUGAACUUGUAUAAUCGUGAUUUAUGGUAUAGCUGAGACAAGCAGUGAUGUGCUAGCCGAAGCACUCUGGCAAACUGAGCAUUCUAUAAACGAAUUAUAAACCCUUUAAAUAGGAUACCUUCAUGUAAAGCCUUACCAACUGUUUUAGUUGAACCAUAAUGACUUCAUGAGGUCUGUCUAAGACUGCUUGAUAUAGCCGCCAGGAGUGGACGGUCAAGAAAUGGAAGAUUCUUGAUAAUUCAUCUUAUUCCAUUGAGCGUCUUGAAUAUCUCUAUCGUCUGUCUAGUCACAGGGCUCAGAGAUCCGAUCUGUCUAAGAAAUGACUAACUAAAUGACUAACUAGUAGACUCUAGAAGAGUUCCAGUUGAGGUUGCAAUCCGUUUUUUAACAUUAUUUCAUCGGUUUUUUUGUUAUUACUGUAAGAAACGUGAAAGUGACAGUGCGUUUAGAUGUGCUAUCAUCUCCUCUUCCACAUAUUUUCAUACAUGUCAACUCUCUGAGAGGUACCAUAGAUGAGCAACACAGUCAACAGGAAUGCUCCAGUACACCUGACUAAACAAUAACCAAAAACUGUUAAGAAUGAUGCUGGUACCACUGGUAAUAUAGACGUGUGUGUGUGUGAGCCGCUCAUCACAAAUCUAUGCAUAAACUGUAUAAUAAACAUUUACAAUUCAGCUGUGAUGGAAAGCCAAGCAUGCACAGCUUUGUUGAGACCAGGCUUGCUCUACUGCUAAUACACUCCGGUCUGAGAGUUAUGAUGGACCUUUAACGUCAUCACUACCCAUAAAUGAAAGUACUAUGCCAUAUUUACCUAACACAUUAAUGCAAAACUAAAUAUGCGGUUCCAAAGAGAAUUGAUAGAGACAAAUGUGACAUCGACCUUUUGGAUUUUAGAUAAAAGUGGUGUCAUUAUUUCAUAUAUUCAUGGAAUUAUUUGUUAUUUCCUCUCCUUACUAUCCUUUUGGAGGAGAUUACUGUAUGUGAGAAUAUAUAGGUCUGUAAGAAACCUGCCGUGGAGACUAUCGCCUUCUAAGAAUGUGUGAGAGAAGCUGCACUAUAAUAUUUACUAUUCCUUUGAAAGUUAUAACAAAAUCCAUGUACUGUAUAUACAAUCUGUUGAAGCCUGCAAGCCAUCUCCCUCCCUGUCUCCCAAUUCAGGGUUUGGAGGAUGCAGUUAUUGGUUGUUGUAAUAGAACAAAAGGCUGCCCCCUGUUGGUCAAACCACUGUGCUGUCAGACAGUUGGAUACAGGUUUAGACAGUGACUGCUGGGCAAAUAAAGAGAACAAUGAGACUGCAUCUCAAGGUUCAGAUUUAUCCUAAAUGCUCAGUAUAGUGUGUGUGUGUGUCUUACUUAUCUGUGAGUGUGUGUGCGCGUGCACACGUGAGCAUGUCCGUACAUGCAUGCCAACAUGUGCACCAGCGUGUGUGUGACUGUGUGUCUGUGCGUGCCUUUGUGUGUGUGUGUGUGCCUAUGUGAAUGUGUGUGUGUGUGUGUGUGUGUGUGUGUGUGUGUGUGUGUGUGUUUGUGUGUUUUGGGGGUGGCUGUCAUGGCCUGUGUGCUGUGUAAUCUCAGCCUUGAUGCACUAAUCCAAACCAGAUCUGUGUGUGUGUGUGUGAGAGGGUCCAGAGCACAGAGGGUUGCUCUCUCGCCGCCGUUCUCACCGCUGCUAAUCAUAGCCAAAGGAAAAGAGAUGUGACAUAAAAACAAGUGUUUCAGCCCAGGACCUCCACUCCAAGGCACGUCUGUGCACUCAAUCCAUUUUCUCUUUUGAUAAUCAAAUGUCUUUUCAACACAUUGGUUAUCACCAUACUCUGUUCUCGAACGGAUUAUGUUUUAAGGCAUGUACAAUGGUUCAAUUCUAUCGUAGCUAUGUUGAAGACUUGUAAAAGUGUAAAGUGUUGUCAAGGCAAGCUACUACAUUGUAGACUACAGUAGACCAACAGAUCUACAAAGAUCUCUUACUUAUACCCGAAUCAUGGAUUUAUGAAUUAGUAUUUGAAUGAAUGUUGUCACACAGUUCAGUAACAGACUUAGACAAUCACUGAAAAUACCUCCGGGAUGUGCUCAUGCCAACCAUAUUAUUUAUUUGUAGGAUUUGAUAGGGAUGUGCUUAGUUGUCUAUUUAAUAUCCAACUUGUCUUUAUAGCAUUGCUUUUAUCAAUUUCAAACUUCCCUGCAGAUUUUU
rnacentral:lncRNA from 1 species